rnacentral:rRNA from 1 species
GCUUAACCGGAGAAGUGCAUCGGAAACUGGGAGACUUGAGUGCAGAAGAGGACAGUGGAACUCCAUGUGUAGCGGUGGGAUGCGUAGAUAUAUGGAAGAACACCAGUGGCGAAGGCGGCUGUCUAGUCUGUAACUGACGCUGAGGCUCGAAAGCAUGGGUAGCGAACAGGAUUAGAUACCCAGGUAGUCCAUGCCGUAAACGAUGAGUGCUAAGUGUUGGAGGGUUUCCGCCCUUCAGUGCUGCAGCUAACGCAUUAAGCACUCCGCCUGGGGAGUACGACCGCAAGGUUGAAACUCAAAGGAAUUGACGGGGGCCCGCACAAGCGGUGGAGCAUGUGGUUUAAUUCGAAGCUACGCGAAGAACCUUACCAGGUCUUGACACCUUCUGCCAAUCUUAGAGAUAAGACGUUCCCUUCGGGGACAGAAUGACAGGUGGUGCAUGGUUGUCGUCAGCUCGUGUCGUGAGAUGUUGGGUUAAGCCCCGCAACGAGCGCAACCCUUAUUAUCAGUUGCCAGCAUUCAGUUGGGCACUCUGGUGAGACUGCCGGUGACAAACCGGAGGAAGGUGGGGAUGACGUCAAAUCAUCAUGCCCCUUAUGACCUGGGCUACACACGUGCUACAAUGGACGGUACAACG